rnacentral:misc_RNA from 1 species
GGAAAAAGUCCAAAACACACCUGAUUUUAUUUUGACCUAUUGUAGCCAUAAUCCUUUAUUUUUUACUUAUUAGACCCUUUAAUUUUUAUCUUUAUAGCAAAUAAGCAUAAUUUUCCUACCUUAAUUCAGGGACAAAAUUUAUGUAAGCCAUGUUUUAUGGACUAGCUCAUAUGUCACAUAUAAUUAAUAUUUUUUCAUGCUGCAUUUCAU